rnacentral:rRNA from 1 species
UACAGAGGUCUCAAGCGUUGUUCGGAUUCAUUGGGCGUAAAGGGUGCGUAGGCGGCGCGGUAAGUCGGAUGUGAAAUCUCGGAGCUUAACUUCGAAACUGCAUUCGAUACUGCCUUGCUCGAGGACUGGAGAGGAGAUUGGAAUUCACGGUGUAGCAGUGAAAUGCGUAGAUAUCGUGAGGAAGACCAGUGGCGAAGGCGGAUCUCUGGACAGUUCCUGACACUGAGGCACGAAGGCCAGGGGAGCAAACGGG